rnacentral:rRNA from 1 species
GAUGAACGCUGGCGGCGUGCUUAACACAUGCAAGUCGAACGGAAAUAAGAUGAAGCCUAGCGAUUCUUGUUUUAGUGGCGGACGGGUGAGUAACGCGUGGGUAACCUGCCUUACACUGGGGGAUAACAGUUAGAAAUAGCUGCUAAUACCGCAUAAGCGCACAGGGCCGCAUGGCCUGGUGUGAAAAACUCCGGUGGUGUAAGAUGGACCCGCGUCUGAUUAGCUAGUUGGUGAGGUAACGGCCCACCAAGGCGACGAUCAGUAGCCGGCCUGAGAGGGUGAACGGCCACAUUGGGACUGAGACACGGCCCAAACUCCUACGGGAGGCAGCAGUGGGGAAUAUUGCACAAUGGGGGAAACCCUGAUGCAGCGACGCCGCGUGAGUGAAGAAGUAUUUCGGUAUGUAAAGCUCUAUCAGCAAGGAAGAAAAUGACGGUACUUGACUAAGAAGCCCCGGCUAACUACGUGCCAGCAGCCGCAGUAACAC